rnacentral:rRNA from 1 species
GUCAGCAGUCCUACCACCUGCAGUUCAGACUAUGUAAUCCACCUAAAAUUAAGCAGGUUUGGGUCUGGCCAGUACUUGGAUGGGAGACCAACUAGGAAAGCUGGGUUGCUGCUGGAA